rnacentral:rRNA from 1 species
UAGGGAAUCUUCGGCAAUGGACGAAAGUCUGACCGAGCAACGCCGCGUGAGUGAAGAAGGUUUUCGGAUCGUAAAACUCUGUUGUUAGAGAAGAACAAGGACGUUAGUAACUGAACGUCCCCUGACGGUAUCUAACCAGAAAGCCACGGCUAACUACGUGCCAGCAGCCGCGGUAAUACGUAGGUGGCAAGCGUUGUCCGGAUUUAUUGGGCGUAAAGCGAGCGCAGGCGGUUUCCUAAGUCUGAUGUGAAAGCCCCCGGCUCAACCGGGGAGGGUCAUUGGAAACUGGGAGACUUGAGUGCAGAAGAGGAGAGUGGAAUUCCAUGUGUAGCGGUGAAAUGCGUAGAUAUAUGGAGGAACACCAGUGGCGAAGGCGGCUCUCUGGUCUGUAACUGACGCUGAGGCUCGAAAGCGUGGGGAGCAAACAGG